rnacentral:lncRNA from 1 species
GGAGUAGUCAGUUCCAUUCAUUUAUAAUAUAGAUUGUUUCUUUGAUUUUUCUCUUUUUAUUCCUGUCAUCAAUUUAAUUUCUUUUCUGUAAAAUAAACAUGAGUUUGUAUAUAAAUAGGCAUCAUAAUUGUUCCACAUAUAGAUUUUUUUCUCUAACCUGGACCUCAUGCACACUUAUUCACGCUAACUCGAAUCAGCCUGAUGAUCACAGAUCCCACAGAUCACUUGUUCCUUUACAUAUAAAUACAGUGGUACCUCAACUUACGAGUUUAAUUCAUUCCAUGAUGGAGCUUGUAACUUGAAUUACUUGUAUGUCAA